rnacentral:sRNA from 1 species
ACAACGCCACUGGAUUGGUGGUAAGGCGGGGCGGGCCAGAGUCUCCAGCCUGAAGCGGAAGUGGAGGAAAGAUGGAGGACCAUCAGCACGUGCCCAUCGACAUCCAGACCAGCAAGCUGCUCGAUUGGCUGGUGGACAGAAGGCACUGCAGCCUGAAAUGGCAGAGUCUGGUGCUGACGAUCCGCGAGAAGAUCAAUGCUGCCAUCCAGGAUAUGCCAGAGAGCGAAGAGAUCGCCCAGCUGCUGUCUGGGUCCUGUGAGUGCUUAGGGGCUGUCACUGGAGUCCCCUCUUUGCUGAGACAUUCACUACUUUCACUGCCUAAGAAUCCUGGACCUUCUCAAAGGCACAGAGGCCUCCACGAAAAAUAUUUUUGGCCGAUACUCUUCACAGCGGAUGAAGGAUUGGCAGGAGAUUAUAGCCCUGUAUGAGAAGGACAACACCUACUUAGCCUCCUGGUUCGGAAUGUCAACUAUGAGAUCCCCUCACUGAAGAAGCAGAUUGCCAAGUGCCAGCAGCUGCAGCAAGAAUACAGCCGCAAGGAGG